GUCAGCGUAGUGUAGUGGUUUGAGGCCUGGACUUGGACUCUGGAGGGACAGGGUUCAAAUCCCUGCGCAGCCA